rnacentral:rRNA from 1 species
GAUGAACGCUGGCGGCGUGCCUAAUACAUGCAAGUCGAGCGAACAGACGAGGAGCUUGCUCCUCUGACGUUAGCGGCGGACGGGUGAGUAACACGUGGAUAACCUACCUAUAAGACUGGGAUAACUUCGGGAAACCGGAGCUAAUACCGGAUAAUAUAUUGAACCGCAUGGUUCAAUAGUGAAAGACGGUUUUGCUGUCACUUAUAGAUGGAUCCGCGCCGCAUUAGCUAGUUGGUAAGGUAACGGCUUACCAAGGCAACGAUGCGUAGCCGACCUGAGAGGGUGAUCGGCCACACUGGAACUGAGACACGGUCCAGACUCCUACGGGAGGCAGCAGUAGGGAAUCGUCCGCAAUGGGCGAAAGCCUGACGGAGCAACGCCGCGUGAGUGAUGAAGGUCUUCGGAUCGUAAAACUCUGUUAUUAGUGAAGAACAAAUGUGUAAGUAACUAUGCACGUCUUGACGGUACCUAAUCAGAAAGCCACGGCUAACUACGUG